rnacentral:rRNA from 1 species
UACAGAGGUCUCAAGCGUUGUUCGGAUUCAUUGGGCGUAAAGGGUGCGUAGGCGGCGCGGUAAGUCGGGUGUGAAAUCUCGGAGCUUAACUCCGAAACUGCAUUCGAUACUGCCGUGCUUGAGGACUGGAGAGGAGACUGGAAUUUACGGUGUAGCGGUGAAAUGCGUAGAUAUCGUAAGGAAGACCAGUGGCGAAGGCGGGUCUCUGGAAAGUUCCUGACACUGAGGCACGAAGGCCAGGGGAGCAAACGGG